AUCCAGUUGACGAGUCCCGAAAUGGGUGAAACGCGCGUCCUGGAU
rnacentral:hammerhead_ribozyme from 1 species